AAUUUUUUCUCCAGUGAUCCUCCCAAGCUCUGUGCUUCAGCAGCAGGGUCCUUGAACAUGUGAUUCCAAAUGCCGGAAACAUCAGAUGUCACUGUCCAAUCUCUUUUCUCAGCGAAACCUUUCCCGAUUCCUCUAGAUAAGGACCCCCAGGUUGCAAGUCACCUAACCUGAGUAUGGCCAGAAGAAUCAAGCAGGCCCAGGUCCUGACCUCAGAGCCAGCUGGAAUGAAAAAGCCAACCACAGGCAGAAUCUAAGUGCUUGGACCAAGCAACAGGGACCAAGUUAAAAAGCAAGGAAUGAAAUUAUUUUGGUAGAGCAGAAUGAGCAGGACAUCACUACAGAGCAUCCCUUGGUGGUCCUGGGGAAUAUUGCACAAGUGUUUCCCAAGAAGGCAGGAGCAUUCACGAACACUUAAAGGUAAA